GGUCGGAUAGUGUAGUGGUAGCACGCCUGGGUUCGUAACGGUCUCCAUUAUACGGCUUUGGGUCCACUUGGGACUCCAGGAAGGCCAGUUCGAAUCUGGUUCCGACCA